GAUGAACGCUGGCGGCGUGCCUAAUACAUGCAAGUCGAGCGAACGGACGAGAAGCUUGCUUCUCUGAUGUUAGCGGCGGACGGGUGAGUAACGCGUGGAUAACCUACCUAUAAGACUGGGAUAACUUCGGGAAACCGGAGCUAAUACCGGAUAAUAUUUUGAACCGCAUGGUUCAAAAGUGAAAGACGGUCUUGCUGUCACUUAUAGAUGGAUCCGCGCUGCAUUAGCUAGUUGGUAAGGUAACGGCUUACCAAGGCAACGAUGCAUAGCCGACCUGAGAGGGUGAUCGGCCACACUGGAACUGAGACACGGUCCAGACUCCUACGGGAGGCAGCAGUAGGGAAUCUUCCGCAAUGGGCGAAAGCCUGACGGAGCAACGCCGCGUGAGUGAUGAAGGUCUUCGGAUCGUAAAACUCUGUUAUUGGGGAAGAACAUAUGUGUAAGUAACUGUGCACAUCUUGACGGUACCUAAUCAGAAAGCCACGGCUAACUACGUG
rnacentral:rRNA from 1 species